rnacentral:rRNA from 1 species
GACGAACGCUGGCGGCGUGCUUAACACAUGCAAGUCGAACGGAAAGGCCCUGCUUUUGUGGGUGCUCGAGUGGCGAACGGGGGAGGAACACGUGAGUAACCUGCCCUUGACUUUGGGAUAACUUCAGGAAACUGGGGCUACUACCGGAUAGGAGCUCCUGCUGCAUGGUGGGGGUUGGAAAGUUUCCGCGGUUGGGGAUGGACUCGCGGCGUAUCAGCUUGUUGGUGGGGUAGUGGCUUACCAAGGCUUUGACGGGUAGCCGGCCUGAGAGGGUGACCGGCGACAUUGGGCCUACGGUACGGCCCAGACUCCUACGGGCGGCAGAGGGGGGGAACAUGGCACAGUGGGCGGGCGCCUGAUACGGCGGCGCCGCGUGCGGGAUACCGGCCUUCGAGUUGUGAACCGCUUUCGCCUGUGCCGAAGCGUGAGUGACGGUACUGGGUAAAGAAGCACCGGCUAACUACGUG